UCCCUUGGCUAAAUGAUGAGCUAAGUGUUGGUAGGGACAUCUGAUUAAAAAUGAUGACAAUCCAACACGCUGACUCCAGGGA